GCAGCAACUACGAGAGCAGCUGAUUAUUGACUGCAAUCACGAGUGGAUCAACUUCCUUCAGCUAUUUGGGGACCAUUACUACAUCCUGAGGAAAGCAGUGUGUCACCUAGCAACCAUGGACUGCCUCCUCUCAUUGGCCCAGGUUGCUAAAGAAAAUAAUUACUGCAGGCCUGAGGUUCUUGAGGAGAAAAGUCAGAUUUUGAUCACGGCAGGCAAGCAUCCGGUCAUCACCUCGCUGAUGGGAGAUCAGGAUCAAUAUGUCCCCAAUGACACUCAU